rnacentral:tRNA from 1 species
GCCCGUGGUGUAGUGACUACACGUUUGCUUCAUAAGCAGAUGGUCAUGGGUUCGAACCCAGCCCCGGCA